rnacentral:rRNA from 1 species
AUUGAACGCUGGCGGCAGGCCUAACACAUGCAAGUCGAGCGGUAGCACAGAGAGCUUGCUCUCGGGUGACGAGCGGCGGACGGGUGAGUAAUGUCUGGGAAACUGCCUGAUGGAGGGGGAUAACUACUGGAAACGGUAGCUAAUACCGCAUAAUGUCGCAAGACCAAAGUGGGGGACCUUCGGGCCUCAUGCCAUCAGAUGUGCCCAGAUGGGAUUAGCUAGUAGGUGGGGUAACGGCUCACCUAGGCGACGAUCCCUAGCUGGUCUGAGAGGAUGACCAGCCACACUGGAACUGAGACACGGUCCAGACUCCUACGGGAGGCAGCAGUGGGGAAUAUUGCACAAUGGGCGCAAGCCUGAUGCAGCCAUGCCGCGUGUGUGAAGAAGGCCUUCGGGUUGUAAAGCACUUUCAGCGGGGAGGAAGGCGGUGAGGUUAAUAACCUCAUCGAUUGACGUUACCCGCAGAAGAAGCACCGGCUAACUCCGUGCCAGCAGCCGCGGUAAUACGGAGGGUGCAAGCGUUAAUCGGAAUUACUGGGCGUAAAGCGCACGCAGGCGGUCUGUCAAGUCGGAUGUGAAAUCCCCGGGCUCAACCUGGGAACUGCAUUCGAAACUGGCAGGCUAGAGUCUUGUAGAGGGGGGUAGAAUUCCAGGUGUAGCGGUGAAAUGCGUAGAGAUCUGGAGGAAUACCGGUGGCGAAGGCGGCCCCCUGGACAAAGACUGACGCUCAGGUGCGAAAGCGUGGGGAGCAAACAGGAUUAGAUACCCUGGUAGUCCACGCCGUAAACGAUGUCGAUUUGGAGGUUGUGCCCUUGAGGCGUGGCUUCCGGAGCUAACGCGUUAAAUCGACCGCCUGGGGAGUACGGCCGCAAGGUUAAAACUCAAAUGAAUUGACGGGGGCCCGCACAAGCGGUGGAGCAUGUGGUUUAAUUCGAUGCAACGCGAAGAACCUUACCUGGUCUUGACAUCCACAGAACUUUCCAGAGAUGGAUUGGUGCCUUCGGGAACUGUGAGACAGGUGCUGCAUGGCUGUCGUCAGCUCGUGUUGUGAAAUGUUGGGUUAAGUCCCGCAACGAGCGCAACCCUUAUCCUUUGUUGCCAGCGGUUCGGCCGGGAACUCAAAGGAGACUGCCAGUGAUAAACUGGAGGAAGGUGGGGAUGACGUCAAGUCAUCAUGGCCCUUACGACCAGGGCUACACACGUGCUACAAUGGCAUAUACAAAGAGAAGCGACCUCGCGAGAGCAAGCGGACCUCAUAAAGUAUGUCGUAGUCCGGAUUGGAGUCUGCAACUCGACUCCAUGAAGUCGGAAUCGCUAGUAAUCGUAGAUCAGAAUGCUACGGUGAAUACGUUCCCGGGCCUUGUACACACCGCCCGUCACACCAUGGGAGUGGGUUGCAAAAGAAGUAGGUAGCUUAACCUUCGGGAGGGCGCUUACCACUUUGUGAUUCAUGACUGGGGUGA